rnacentral:tRNA from 1 species
AAAAGCCGUUGGCUUUAUUGACCGUGAGGGUUCAAGUCCCUCUACCCCCA